UAUUAGCCAGGAUCAGAGGAUGUCUGGUCA
rnacentral:piRNA from 1 species